rnacentral:rRNA from 1 species
UACGUAGGGCGCAAGCGUUGUCCGGAAUUAUUGGGCGUAAAGAGCUCGUAGGCGGUUUGUCGCGUCUGUCGUGAAAGCCCACGGCUUAACCGUGGGUCUGCGGUGGAUACGGGCAGACUAGAGGCAGGUAGGGGAGAAUGGAAUUCCCGGUGUAGCGGUGAAAUGCGCAGAUAUCAGGAGGAACACCGGUGGCGAAGGCGGCACUCUGGGCCGGUACUGACGCUGAGGAGCGAAAGCGUGGGGAGCGAACAGG